GUGGACUCCAAUUAAGCUGUAGAAACAUCUCAAGGAUGAUCAAUGGAUAAAGGAGGCACCUAAGCUCAGUUUUGUGCUUCAUGGCAAAGGCAGUGAAU